UACGUAGGGGGCUAGCGUUGUCCGGAAUCAUUGGGCGUAAAGAGCGUGUAGGCGGUCCGGUAAGUCCACUGUGAAAGUCGGGGGCUCAACCCUCGAAUGCCGGUGGAUACUGUCGGGCUAGAGUGCGGAAGAGGCGAGUGGAAUUCCUGGUGUAGCGGUGAAAUGCGUAGAUAUCGGGAGGAACACCAGUGGCGAAGGCGACUACCUGGCCUGUUCUUGACGCUGAGGCGCGAAAGCUAGGGGAGCAAACGGG
rnacentral:rRNA from 1 species